AGCACUCGAAAUAUUCUCGUGGUUUGCUUCUUUUCCAGUCCUGAAGUCAGAUAAGGAUCAGAGUGCGAAAUUCCUGAGGUUUCUGUUUUUGUGGAAACUGGACGGGUCAUCAUGGUAAACCUGUCACCAAAAUGUCAUCACUACACACCGGAAAUUCGCAUUUCUGUACAGAAAUAGAUUGAACCACGCUUUAAAACCCUU